rnacentral:rRNA from 1 species
AUUGAACGCUGGCGGCAUGCUUUACACAUGCAAGUCGAACGGUAACAGGCCGCAAGGUGCUGACGAGUGGCGCACGGGUGAGUAAUGCAUCGGAACGUGCCCAGUCGUGGGGGAUAACUACUCGAAAGAGUAGCUAAUACCGCAUACGAUCUAUGGAUGAAAGCGGGGGACCGUAAGGCCUCGCGCGAUUGGAGCGGCCGAUGUCAGAUUAGGUAGUUGGUGGGGUAAAGGCUCAUCAAGCCAACGAUCUGUAGCUGGUCUGAGAGGACGACCAGCCACACUGGGACUGAGACACGGCCCAGACUCCUACGGGAGGCAGCAGUGGGGAAUUUUGGACAAAGGGCGCAAGCCUGAUCCAGCAAUGCCGCGUGCAGGAAGAAGGCCUUCGGGUUGUAAACUGCUUUUGUACGGAACGAAACGGCUCUGGUUAAUACCCGGGGCUAAUGACGGUACCGUAAGAAUAAGCACCGGCUAACUACGUG